AACUUUGCGCAGUGGCAAUAUCGUAGCCUAUGAGGUUAAACCGAGGCGCGAUUAUUGCUAAUUGAAACUUUGCCUAAAUAAUAAAGAUAUUAUCGCUGUUGCAGGAAGAACUGCCACAUCUAAGUGAAUAGAAACUCUCUUUGGUGA